rnacentral:rRNA from 1 species
UACGAAGGGGGCUAGCGUUGUUCGGAAUCACCGGGCGUAAAGGGCGCGUAGGCGGCUUUGUAAGUCGGGGGUGAAAGCCUGUGGCUCAACCACAGAAUUGCCUUCGAUACUGUAGAGCUUGAGACCGGAAGAGGUUAGUGGAACUGCGAGUGUAGAGGUGAAAUUCGUAGAUAUUCGCAAGAACACCAGUGGCGAAGGCGGCUGACUGGUCCGGUUCUGACGCUGAGGCGCGAAAGCGUGGGGGAGCAAACAGG